GGGUUGUGAUAAUAAUAGGAGUUUCAGGAAAGGAAAAACAUACUGCAGCCUGGAAAGGAGAAGAGUCAAGAUGACUGUCACUAUAACUGGGCUCCGUAUCACUAUUGGAGGGUUGAUUAAAAUUGCAAUAUCAUCUGUGAUUAUAUCAAACCCUGCUUUGAUAAUAAUAGGGGUGACAACAGUGGCAGUUACAGGCGCCAUAAUCCUCAUGAAGAAUAAACAAAAACACAACUAGUAGGAAGCUCUGCUCUGACAUUCAGCCAUGUCAUCUACUUUGAACAAAGUCAAAGAAAAACAUAAAGAAGCUAAUCGAAUGGAUGAAAGUGAUCAUGCUGGGGUGGAUUCAGCUUCAACUGGCCUCAGUGUGUGAAGAGGAAACAGCUGACAUGAAGAAACUACAACCAGACAAGUUCAGAAGAUGUUUCUUUGCUAAACACUACAUUUGCUGUGUGUGAUCUAGUUAUCUAAACAAAGAAAAUAUUACAACUGUGUUCUAUCAAUAUAUCUGCUGAAAGUACAAGUAUUCCUUAUUUUCUUUACAGAAACGGUUUUGACUAAAUAUUCUCACAGAAAAUGCAAAUCUGCCAUCUCCAAAUGAUGCACCAAACAUAAUUUCUCAGAAACAAAGUGGACGUAGUUAAAACUGGUAGACACACCAUAAACAUAGUGUGUUGUUAAAUUAUCCUCUGUUUUUGUGUUGUAAUGAUAUUGUUCAAAGAAAACACUGAAAUUGGAAUACAGAGUUAAAAAACAGUUCUUGAAGAGGCAUCUCUCUGACUUUGCAACUCUACACCAAAUUGGAUUUCAAUUUGGCAGAUUUUUGUUUGUUUGUUUGUUUGUUUUUGUUAUAAAUGUGAGACUGCAUUUCUGAAAAUAGAUAAACGGUUAAGCAAAAAGAUUUUCUAUAUCUUCAAGAAAACAAGGACCUUGUUCUGAGUUAGAGAAGGUUCUUUGCCAACGCUGGUCUGGGCAUGUCUCAUAAACUUCUUAUGUUUUUAAAAAAAAGUCUUGACUCAGAUUGAAACUGAAAGCUGCAAAGCCUUAUUUGGGGAAGCAGUUUUGUACAGAAAAGCUAAUGCUGUGUUUAUUUGAUGCAACAUAUUUGGAGGGAGGUCUGAAUUUUCUGUGUUCUCACAGAAAAGGUGGAGAGGAAGAUUUUGGCUUCAUUUUUGUAACUUUGUAUUUGCCAUCAAAUUAAACAACACUGUACGCUGAACAAACCAAGUUUAUUUCCUGUUUUUGUCUACUUCUCUGCACACCGCCUGCAAUCAGAUUCACACCUAAAAGGGUUGUGAUAAUAAUAGAAGUUUCCGGAAAGGAAAAACAUACUGCAGCCUGGAAAGGAGAAGAGUGAAAAUGCCUGUCAUUCUAGAGAAGCUCCGUGGCUCUUUUGCUUUUGGAGCACUGAGGGCUGCGAUUAAAACAACUGUGGUGAUAACAGACAGUGCUUUGUUCAUAAUAGCAGGGGUGGUAACAGUGGCAUUUGUAACCUGCAAAAUCUUGGCGAGGGUGAAAUGGUAGGAAGCUCUGCUCUGACAUUCAGCCAUGUCAUCUGCUUUGAACAAAAUAAAAAAAAAAAAAAACAAACAUAAAGAAGCUAAUCGAAUGGAUGGACGUGAUCAUGCUGGGGUGGAUUCAGCUUCAACUGGCCUCAGUGUGUGAAGAGGAAACAGCUGACAUGAAGAAACUACAACCAGACAAGUUCAGAAGAUGUUUCUUUGCUAAACACUACAAUUGCUGUGUGUGAUCUAGUUAUCUAAACAAAGAAAA